AUUGGACAAAACUAAAAUGUUUAAAAUCAAUUUGAAAACAAAGUCUAUCUACUUCCGCGUUGAUGGUGACCACUAUGGAAUCUCUUCUUGAACAUAGUCAUCCAUCCCAAAAGCUGACUCCUAUGAGCAGCUGAAACCCAAAUACGAUGGGGUUAUCAAGUGAAUCCUCUUGAGCACCUCUUCAUAUUUAAUCAUGUCGUAUAAGGUAUGAGGUAUCCAUCUGUUGAAAUAUAAAUUUUUAUUAAAUCAAGCAGAAAAAGAGAAAGUUAAAAUCAAUGAUCAUGGGCUAGAAGCAAGCAAGAGAGGCCACACAACCAAUAAUCUGAAACAAUUGUCAAAAACAAAAUCAACUGCGAAAGGAAGGAAGCAACUGAUCAAAUCAAGAAAGAGGUAAGAGACCAACCUUUGUGUGAUAAGACGAAAAUCACCAAGAGCCCGGAGAACUUGAGAGAAAAGAGGGAACAAACUUAGAGCUUGAUGGAGAAGAUUCAAGAGGAUCCAACAUGAAACAGAGUGAAAAGAGAAGAAUUCAACACUAUCACGAUAAGCUUUUCAAUCCCAC
rnacentral:lncRNA from 1 species